UACGAAGGGGGCAAGCGUUGUUCGGAAUUACUGGGCGUAAAGGGCGCGUAGGCGGCCGCCUAAGUCAGACGUGAAAUCCCUCGGCUCAACCGGGGAACUGCGUCUGAUACUGGAUGGCUUGAAUCCGGGAGAGGGAUGCGGAAUUCCAGGUGUAGCGGUGAAAUGCGUAGAUAUCUGGAGGAACACCGGUGGCGAAGGCGGCAUCCUGGACCGGCAUUGACGCUGAGGAGCGAAAGCCAGGGGAGCAAACGGG
rnacentral:rRNA from 1 species